ACGGCUCAGUAACACGUGGACAACCUACCCAAAGGUCUGGGAUAACUCCGGGAAACUGGGGAUAAUACCGGAUAGGUCAAGAGUACUGGAAGGGUUCUUUGAUUGAAAGCUCUGGCGCCUUUGGAUGGGUCUGCGGCUGAUUAGGUUGACGCCGGUGUAAAGUACCGGCGUGCCGAUUAUCAGUACGGGUUGUGGGAGCAAGAGCCCGGAGAUGGAUUCUGAGACACGAAUCCAGGCCCUACGGGGCGCAGCAGGCGCGAAAACUCUACAAUGCAGGCAACUGCGAUAGGGGAACAUCGAGUGGCAUCUACAUUAGGUGUCUGUCCAGCUGUCUAAAAAACGGCUGUUAGCAAGGGCCGGGCAAGACCGGUGCCAGCCGCCGCGGUAAUACCGGCGGCUCGAGUGGUGGCCGAUAUUAUUGAGUCUAAAGGGUCCGUAGCCGGCUUUGCAAGUCUUGUGGGAAAUCCAGCGGCUUAACCGUUGGGCGUCUGCGGGAUACUACAUUGCUUGGGACUGGGAGAGGUAGGAGGUACUCAGGGGGUAGGAGUGAAAUCCUGUAACCCUCUGGGGACCACCGGUGGCGAAGGCGUCCUACCAGAACAGGUCCGACGGUGAGGGACGAAAGCUAGGGGCACGAACCGGAUUAGAUACCCGGGUAGUCCUAGCCGUAAACGAUGCCCGCUAGGUGUCACGGCAGUCGUGAACUGCCGUGGUGCCGUAGGGAAGCCGUGAAGCGGGCCACUUGGGAAGUACGACCGCAAGGUUGAAACUUAAAGGAAUUGGCGGGGGAGCAC
rnacentral:rRNA from 1 species